AAUCGCUCUAAAAGCCGAGAUAGCUUCCUGAAACGAGUGAAGGAAAAUGAUCAGAAAAAGAAGGAAGCCAAAGAGAAAGGAAGAGAGGUUCAUCAGGA